rnacentral:lncRNA from 1 species
AUACUUAAGUCCUUGUAUUUGGCUUUAUAGUGCUGUGGCUCUUGAAUAAGAGGAAGUCAUAACAGCCCCCACAAGCAGCUAAACCAAAAGGCAGAAGCAGCUCAGGAAUGCUGGAGGUUGAUUUCCCCUCAGACCCAUAACACUACAAAGGUGCGAAAUGUGGGCAGACUUCUAUGGUUACCUCAAAAGAUUACGCACCAGAAAGUCCAAGAGCACUUCUGGAAUCCCAACCUUAUUGGCAAGCCCGCAGUUCAUGCCCCUUUGCAGAGGCACUCAUCGAAGCUAUUGGUCGUCCAGAUUUGGAGUUAGGAUCUGAAAGCAUCUUGAGGGUCCCUCUGUUGACCCCAGAGAAAGCCUUAAAAUUGACAGCUUUGAUGGUCUUAGCCAAGGCAAGAUUGACCAUCAUUAUGAUGCACUGUCUCUUUGCAUCCUUGCUUCGAU